UUUGCAAUCAAAUGAUACGUUGUUACCAAGGAUGACAACAUAGGUCGUUGUGUGCCAUAUGGAUUGGUUGUCUUUUUAACCAAGGAGUGUGGAGACACUGGUAUGGCAUACAGGUGAGAUGUAAAGGUACAUUUGCACUGAACGUGACCGACUCCAGAGCCUUUUCUGCUGUCAAGAUUUGCUCCGAUGGGAUAUGGGUAUAACUGUCCCUCCGAUCUGAGACCGCCACGGUAACUUGCAAGCAACUCACUACACUUAGGCACCGGACUACCUGAAUUUCUAAUUUAGUGACGAAAGGCUGCUGGGUGUAGUCAAGUACUUGACUUGUCGGUGCAUGUGUGAAGAUGGGAUUGACCACUCCAGUUCAGGAGCUGUGUCCAGUCGUGUUUCAAUUUAGUAAAACCUUGGUCAGGGUAGUCUUAAUGAGGAGUCACAGGACUGUUUGAGUUGAGCACGAUUCGGAUGAUCUUAUCAGGGUUGACAGUUUAACCCUGAGUCAUCCUAAACAUAGG
rnacentral:lncRNA from 1 species